AAAGCAAGUUGCAAUUACAAUGCUUCAUUUUGUGGAAGUACCACCAUCAUCCUGCUGAAAGAAAAGUCAUGUUGAUGGCUUUUUAUGUUUGUCUUUAUGAGGGUAAAAUCAUGACAUUUUGACAUGGACAAUU
rnacentral:snoRNA from 1 species